rnacentral:rRNA from 1 species
GACGAACGCUGGCGGCGUGCUUAACACAUGCAAGUCGAACGGAAAGGCCCUGCUUUUGUGGGGUGCUCGAGUGGCGAACGGGUGAGUAACACGUGAGUAACCUGCCCUUGACUUUGGGAUAACUUCAGGAAACUGGGGCUAAUACCGGAUAGGAGCUCCUGCUGCAUGGUGGGGGUUGGAACGUUUCGGCGGUUGGGGAUGGACUCGCGGCUUAUCAGCUUGUUGGUGGGGUAGUGGCUUACCAAGGCUUUGACGGGUAGCCGGCCUGAGAGGGUGACCGGCCACAUUGGGACUGAGAGACGGCCCAGACUCCUACGGGAGGCAGCAGGGGGGAAUAUUGCACAAUGGGCGGAAGCCUGAUGCAGCAACGCCGCGUGCGGGAUGACGGCCUUCGGGUUGUAAACCGCUUUCGCCUGUGACGAAGCGUGAGUGACGGUAAUGGGUAAAGAAGCACCGGCUAACUACGUG